CCUACGGGAGGCUGCAGUGAGGAAUAUUGGUCAAUGGACGAGAGUCUGAACCAGCCAAGUAGCGUGAAGGAUGACUGCCCUAUGGGUUGUAAACUUCUUUUAUAUGGGAAUAAAACAAGGUAUGCAUACCCUCUUGUAUGUACCUUAUGAAUAAGGAUCGGCUAACUCCGUGCCAGCAGCCGCGGUAAUACGGAGGAUCCGAGCGUUAUCCGGAUUUAUUGGGUUUAAAGGGAGCGUAGGUGGGUUGUUAAGUCAGUUGUGAAAGUUUGCGGCUCAACCGUAAAAUUGCAGUUGAUACUGGCAGUCUUGAGUACAGUAGAGGUGGGCGGAAUUCGUGGUGUAGCGGUGAAAUGCUUAGAUAUCACGAAGAACUCCGAUUGCGAAGGCAGCUUACUGGACUGCGACUGACACUGAUGCUCGAAAGUGUGGGUAUCAAACAGGAUUAGAUACCCCUGUAGUC
rnacentral:rRNA from 1 species